GCGUGCAUAACACAUGCAAGUCGAACGAUGAAACUUAGUAGACUUCUUCGGAAUGACACUAAGCGAAUUAGUGGCGAACGGGUGAGUAACGCGUGAGUAACCUGCCUUACACAAGGGGAUAGCCUUUGGAAACGAAGAAUAAUACCCUAUAAAACUAUAAAAGCACAUGCUAGAAUGGUCAAAGUGCUAGCGGUGUAAGAUGGACUUGCGUCUGAUUAGCUAGUUGGUGAGAUAAAAGCUCACCAAGGCAACGAUCAGUAGCCGGCUUGAGAGAGUGUACGGCCACAUUGGGACUGAGACACGGCCCAGACUCCUACGGGAGGCAGCAGUGGGGAAUUUUGCACAAUGGGGGAAACCCUGAUGCAGCGACGCCGCGUGAUUUAGAAGGCCUUCGGGUUGUAAAAAUCUUUUGUAUAGGAAGAAAAUGACAGUACUAUACGAAUAAGGUCCGGCUAAUUACGUGCCAGCAGCCGCGGUAAUACGUAAGGACCGAGCGUUGUCCGGAAUCAUUGGGCGUAAAGGGUACGUAGGCGGCUAGAAAAGUUAGAAGUCAAAGGCUAUAGCUCAACUAUAGUAAGCUUCUAAAACUAUUUAGCUUGAGAAAUGGAAGGGAAAGUGGAAUUCCUAGUGUAGCGGUGGAAUGCGCAGAUAUUAGGAAGAAUACCGGUGGCGAAGGCGACUUUCUGGCCAUUAUCUGACGCUGAGGUACGAAAGCGUGGGUAG
rnacentral:rRNA from 2 species